rnacentral:lncRNA from 1 species
CAUAUUAGUAUUAUACUACAUACACUCAUUACCUAUUACAAUAUGAACGUUUUAAAUGUUUCGUUUUUGUUUUAGUCAUGGUCAUAGAUAAUAUAGAUUGGAUUGUCCAUCAGCCUUCCUGAGCGUUCUCAAAUGGUGACCCAUUGGGUAAUAUAUUUAGUAUAACAUAAACAAUUCAAUUUUUCAUUUAUUAAUUAAUUUUGAAAUUAUUUUAGGUUGAUAAUAAGAGUGUAUGGCGACUGAUCUGGCAUCCACCCAUUUCUUGAUGGCAGGUGACUUCACAAGGUUUGCAGAUUGGAGGUUCAUUCAUAAGGCACACUUGAAUCUGGUGCUGCUGAAUGGUGCCCAAGUAAACACCCUUUCUUAUACGCACUUGUUUCCAUAUCUGUGAAUAGUACCUUAUUAGUAAUGUUUUUUUUUUCACCUUUUUAUUUUUACUAUAUUUAUUAAUUUUGAUUUUGUUGUUUUUGUUUGUUACCAGAUUUGUGUAUUGUGAAUUUUAUGUUGACUUUUGUCUUGUAUUCAUGACUUUUUUAGCCCUAUUUACGACUUAAUUAUGCCCUUUACUGGAAUUUUUUUUUUAGAUUAUUAUUAUUACGUAUUCUGAUUUAUUCUCCUUUAUCAUACUUUUUUUUUUUUGUUUUGCUGAUUAAUUGCUAAAAUAUUUUUUUGUGAGCCUGUGGUCUUUAGUAAGCGUGUCUGUAUUUGUAAAAUACAGUAUUUAAUAUUAAAUUACUUGAUUUAUUAAUUUAGUAGAUCAUGGCACCUCUCUCUUUUAAAUCCAUGGUAGGAUUGCCUGAAAUUGGUUGAGAUAAAUUGUUUGUAAGGUUGUUUUGAUGGUCACUUAAGGAGGUUGCAGUCUUAAGUGUAGGAUUUUGUAGUAGAUUUUACAAUUAUUUUUAUUUGUUUGUCUGUGUAUGAAAACAAAAGUUAUAUGGUUAAAUUCAAUAACAAUAAAAAAAAAAAAAUCACCAAAACAAAAUGCAAAAUUAAUAUUAAGAAUUAUUAAAUAAAUUUUCCACUCUAUUCAGAAUUGAAAACAAAUCACUAUUAAUGUAAAUUAUUGUAUUUUUAGUGUAUAAUCUACAGGCUUCACUUCAAAAUGAUUUAAAUAUUAUAAAAAUUGAUGAAAUUAAAAAGAGAUAUAUGAAGAGAUCACAUUAUCAAACAACAGAAGAAAACAUUAAUCAGUUGAAAUUAAAAUUAUCAAUACAAACCAUGGACCAACUAUACUGCAGCCCAUGAAAGAAGAAACCUGUGCCUUGACCAAAACUUGUCCAAGUUUGCAUAGCCCCGCCACGUUAACGCUAGCGUAUUUUCCAUGUGAGUGUACACCAUGUUUAUAGUGCUUAUCGCGUUCCUAUACCUACCAUGUAAUUAUUUAACACUGCCUUUUUUAAUGAAAUUCAGUAAUAUUUCUUAAGUGUAAUAAAAUUGGAAAUUCAUAUUUAUUUAUUAUAAUUAUAUAUGUUCAUAUUAGUUAUUUGUAUAAAAAAUUUAAAUAAAUUAGAGUCGUUAAAAUAAAAUAAUUUUGAAAAUUUAUAUUCCAUUUUUGACAUACUAUUUCAUAGGACACAAGUAGCAGUGUGCUGCAGAAACUGUCAAAUAUAUGCGCAAACGAGUUCCUUCUCUCAUAGGCCACAGUAUAGACAUUCUUGAAUUAAAUCUGGAACUUAAACAGAUGUUUAUUUGAUGUAUGUUUUUUUUCUAUAUAUAUAUUUCAAAUAAAUAAUUUUUUUUUUUUAUAAAUAGGCUAAUUUCAUUCAUAGAA